CUGCUGCCUUCCGUAGGAGUUUGGGCCGUGUCUCAGUCCCAAUGUGGCCGUCCACCCUCUCAGGCCGGCUACUGAUCGUCGCCUUGGUGGGCCGUUACCCCGCCAACAAGCUAAUCAGACCGCGGGUCCAUCUUACACCACCGGAGUUUUUCACACAAAUCCAUGCGGCUUCGUGCGCUUAUGCGGUAUUAGCACCUAUUUCUAAGUGUUAUCCCCCAGUGUAAGGCAGGUUACCCACGCGUUACUCACCGUCCGCCACUAAGUA
rnacentral:rRNA from 1 species